rnacentral:misc_RNA from 1 species
UUUUGCGCUACUAGAAACCAGAUGCAUGAUGGAAGAAGACAGCAGAACAUAAAUAGAACAACUGAAGCCCCUGUCUGAGACAAAUAGCGGUACAUGGAGUAAACUGACCAUAUUCUCAUAAAGUUCCCAACAACAUGGAUUAUCUGCAAGGGGGUUUGCCUCAUGGUAGCAGAAUGAGAUGAACCUCGAUUUUCUGAAAGUGGCUUCGGAGACAUCAUUUUUGCAACGACUAAUCUGUUUUAAGCUUCAAUGAAUCGAUUGAGAAUGAACCGAGUUUAGUGGUAAAUGCAGA